rnacentral:rRNA from 1 species
CCUACGGGUGGCAGCAGUGGGGGAUAUUGCACAAUGGAGGAAACUCUGAUGCAGCGACGCCGCGUGAGGGAAGACGGUCUUCCGAUUGUAAACCUCUGUUUUUGGGGAAGAAAAUGACGGUACUCAUAGAGGAAUCUCCGGCUAACUACGUGCCAGCAGCCGUGGCAACACGUAGGGAGCGAGCGUUGUCCGGAAUUACUGGGUGUAAAGGGAGCGUAGGCGGGCGAGAAAGUUGGAUGUUAAAUCUACCGGCUUAACUGGUAGCUGCGUUCAAAACUUCUUGUCUUGAGUGAAGUAGAGGCAGGCGGAAUUCCUAGUGUAGCGGUGAAAUGCGUAGAUAUUAGGAGGAACACCGGUGGCGAAGGCAGCCUGCUAGGCUGUAACUGACGCUGAGGCUCGAAAGCGUGGGGAGCAAACAGGAUUAGAUACCCCAGUAGUC